AAAUAUGAAUACGUUGUACCGUAGACAGCAGGUGCGAAACAAUCGCUUAAUAUCCUGCCGAGGUGUUUAAAAGCAAAUGAAAUAAUCUAUAUAGGUUAUGAUUUGUAUAAAAACCUCCAUGUCUGCAUGGAGGUUUUUCUUAUGACCCU
rfam:Virgibacillus sp. LM2416 chromosome, complete genome.